rnacentral:lncRNA from 1 species
UUUACUCCCAGCAAACACCGAAUGUUUUAUACUUGUGCCGAGAUAUUUACAAAACUGAUUGUAAAAUACCAAGACACUUUUUCGGCAAAGACAGAAGAAAUUAUGAUUUUUCCUAUGAUGAAGUAAUUGUUAUCUUUUCUAUCAUAUCAAAAUUACACAAGAGUUGGGUCAGCAACGAUCACAUUAAAGUCAGAUCCUAGUACUCGAUAAUGCUGAACAAAUAUCUGAGGAAAUCUGACGAAGGGGUCACAUCAGAACAACCUCGCGCAAACUCUGACCGACCAAUGAAAUUACACGUAAUGGGAUGUACACAGACCUUUGUUGCACGGUAGUGAGAACUAAGAUUUGACUGUUCUGAUAUCAGAUCAGCUGUGUUAAAUUAAGGGUUAAACUUUAGUUUAUAACACUCUCUAUAGACAGGAUUUUGUCUGGAAUAUGUGUAUUCUUUACCCAGUCAAGUCCUGUUCAUUGUGUGAGUGAGUGAAUUCAUAAUAACCGCAACUCAAAUUUAACAAUCUGUCAACGAACGGCAGUAAAAUAACUAGAUUAAUACAGAUUAUUCACACCAGGUAUCAUGGUACAUAGAAAUGACACACAAGGUAUCAUGGCAUAUAGAAUGACACACAAGGUAUCAUGGUAUAUAGGAUGACACACAAAGUAUCAUGAUAUAUAGGAUGACACACAAAGUAUCAUGGUAUAUAGGAUGACACACAGGUAUCAUGGUAUAUAGGAUGACACACAAGGUAUCAUGGUAUAUAGAAUAACACACAAGGUAUCAUGAUAUAAAGGAUGACACACAAGGUAUCAUGGUAUAUAGGAUGACACACAAGGUAUCAUGGUAUAUAGGAUGCCACACAAAGUAUCAUGGCAUUUAGGAUUAGACACAAAGUAACAUGGUAUAUAGAAUGACACACAAGGUAACAUGGUAUAUAGGAUGACACACAAGGUAUCAUGGUAUAUAGGAUGACACACAAGGUAUCAUGGUAUAUAGGAUGAUGACACACAGGUAUCAUGGUAUAUAGGAUGACACACAAAGUAAAAUGGUAUAUAGGAUGACAAACAAAGUAACAUGGUAUAUAGGAUGACAUACAAGGUAACAUGGUAUAUAGGAUGCCACACAAGGUAUCAAGGCAUAUAGGAUGACACACAAAGUAACAUGGUAUAUAGGAUGACUUACAAGGUGUCAUGAUAUAUAGAAUGACACACCAGGUAUCAUGGUUUAUAGGAUGACACACAAGGUAACAUGGUAUAUAGGAUGACACACAAGGUAACAUGGUAUAUAGGAUGACACACAAAGUAACAUGGUAUAUAGGAUGACACACAAGGUAACAUGUUAUAUAGG